rnacentral:misc_RNA from 1 species
AAAUUGUACAUAAGCC